rnacentral:rRNA from 1 species
GACGAACCGUCCAAACGUUAUUCGGAAUCACUGGGCUUAAAGGGUGCGUAGGCGGCCCGGGAAGUUGGGUGUGAAAGCCCUCGGCUCAACCGAGGAAUUGCGCCCAAAACUGCCGGGCUUGAGGGAGACAUAGGUGAGCGGAACUUAGGGUGGAGCGGUGAAAUGCGUUGAGAUCCUAAGGAACACCAGUAGCGAAAGCGGCUCACUGGGUCUCUGCUGACGCUGAUGCACGAAAGCUAGGGGAGCGAAGAGG